rnacentral:rRNA from 1 species
CUAGGAUUAGAUACCCUGUUAUUUAUAAAAUUUUAGUAGUAAAUGAAAACCCCAAAAUUAAAAAAAAUUGGCGGCUUUUUAAUCAUUUAGAGGAAUUUAUUCUUUUAAGGAUUCAACACCUACACCUGAAUUAAUUUAGUAACAAACAAUCUGUAUACCUCUAUAAAAAAAAAUAAAUUUUUUUUAUAUUUCUUAAAUCUUUUUUAAGACUAAAAUUAAGUCAAGGUGCAAUUUAUAGUUAAAUUUGAAAUAAAUUAUACUUAUUUAAAUAAAUCAAAAAGUAUAUUGAAAAUAUAAACCUUAAGAAAAAUUUAAAAGUAAGUAAAAAUUAUAGAUUUUUAUUGAAUACUAAAAAUAUUAAGUGUACAUAUUGCCCGUCACUCUUUUAUCAAAGAUAAGUCGUAACAUAGU